UACGUAGGGGGCAAGCGUUAUCCGGAUUUACUGGGUGUAAAGGGAGCGCAGACGGCAUGGCAAGUCUGAAGUGAAAGGCAUGGGCUCAACCCGUGGACUGCUUUGGAAACUGUCAGGCUAGAGUGUCGGAGAGGCAAGUGGAAUUACUAGUGUAGCGGUGAAAUGCGUAGAUAUUAGGAGGAACACCAGUGGCGAAGGCGGCUUGCUGGACGAUGACUGACGUUGAGGCUCGAAAGCGUGGGGAGCAAACAGG
rnacentral:rRNA from 1 species